AUGCGUCCGCUCAACGAUAAGGAGACCACGAUGGUCUUCGAGAAGCUCUUCAAGUUCACCGGCCCCAACCUGAAGCACCUCUUGGAGCAGCCCUCCGUGGAGGGCCCUGACCCGGAGCCUGACCGCUACUGCCUCCGCCUCCACAAGAACCGCACCUUCUACGCCUCUGAAUCGCUCUUCACCCACGGCGGCGCCUUCCACCUCACUGUCCACACGCUCGACCUCCUCGCCGCCCACGUGCGCUGCCGCAUAUGGUUGAAGCCCGACACGGAGCGCUCGUUCCUCUUCGAACACCAAGUCGCGGUCAUGUCCAUGGCCGACGUGCCGCUCGGGUUUGGGGUCGCCGCCAGGGGUGCGCAGGACUGCAGGAAGGCCAACACCAACGCCGUGGUGGUGCUCCACCAGUCCGACGCCGGUGAGUACCUCCGCAAGGAGGAGCUCGUGUGA
rnacentral:rRNA from 1 species